AUUCCCAUUUUAAAUUUGCUGCUAUACUUGUUCAGUGGUGUUAGCAGUGAUACGCGUGGGAGAAAUAAUUCUGCCCCAGAGUUCAGGCUGCAGCUCUUCCCUGAGCUGUAAUAUGACUACUUUGGGCUGGACAACA
rnacentral:snoRNA from 1 species